CCUACGGCUCGCUGCAGUGGGGAAUAUUGGACAAUGGGCGAAAGCCUGAUCCAGCCAUGCCGCGUGUGUGAAGAAGGCCUUCGGGUUGUAAAGCACUUUCAGUGGGGAAGAAAGCCUUGGGGCUAAUACCCUCGAGGAAGGACAUCACCCACAGAAGAAGCACCGGCUAACUCCGUGCCAGCAGCCGCGGUAAUACGGAGGGUGCGAGCGUUAAUCGGAAUUACUGGGCGUAAAGCGCGCGUAGGCGGUCUGAUAAGCCGGUUGUGAAAGCCCCGGGCUCAACCUGGGAACGGCAUCCGGAACUGUCAGGCUAGAGUGCAGGAGAGGAAGGUAGAAUUCCCGGUGUAGCGGUGAAAUGCGUAGAGAUCGGGAGGAAUACCAGUGGCGAAGGCGGCCUUCUGGACUGACACUGACGCUGAGGUGCGAAAGCGUGGGUAGCAAACAGGAUUAGAUACCCCAGUAGUC
rnacentral:rRNA from 1 species